AUGAACGCUAGCGGCAGGCUUACACAUGCAAGUCGAGGGGUAACGAUGGUGCUUGCACCAGGCGACGACCGGCGGACGGGUGAGUAACGCGUAUGCAACCUACCUAUUGCAGGAAGAUAGCCCGAGGAAACUCGGAUUAAUAUUCCAUAAUAUCAUUUUUACACAUGUAUUAAUGAUUAAAGCUACGGCGGCAAUAGAUGGGCAUGCGUACCAUUAGCUAGUUGGUGAGGUAACGGCUCACCAAUGUUACGAUGGUUAGGGGGUCUUAAAGGAUGAUCCCCCACACUGGUACUGAGACACGGACCAGACUCCUACGGGAGGCAGCAGUGAGGAAUAUUGGGCAAUGGACGCAAGUCUGACCCAGCCAUGCCGCGUGCAGGAUGACUGCUCUAGUAGUUGUAAACUGCUUUUCUAUCUCAUGAACCCCUCUGACGUGUCAGGGGCUGACAGUAGAAUAGGAAUAAGCAUCGGCUAACUCCGUGCCAGCAGCCGCGGUAAUACGGAGGAUGCAAGCGUUAUCCGGAUUUACUAGGUUUAAAGGGUGCGUAGGCGGGGUAUCAAGUCAGUGGUGAAAUCCUGCAGCUCAACUGUAGAACUGCCAUUGAAACUGAUAUUCUUGAGUAUAGUUGAGGUAGGCGGAAUGUGUUAAGUAGCGGUGAAAUGCAUAGAGAUAACACAGAACACCGAUUGCGAAGGCAGCUUACUAAACUAUUACUGACGCUGAGGUACGAAAGCGUGGGGAGCGAACAGGAUUAGAUACCCUGGUAGUCCACGCCGUAAACGUUGAUCACUAGUUGUUUGCGAUACAUUGUGAGCGACUGAACAAAAGCAUUAAGUGAUCCACCUGGGG
rnacentral:rRNA from 1 species